UACGGGGGGAGCAAGCGUUGUUCGGAUUUACUGGGCGUAAAGGGCGCGUAGGCGGUCGUGACAAGUCACUUGUGAAAUCUCCGGGCUUAACUCGGAACGGUCAAGUGAUACUGUCGGACUAGAGUACAGAAGGGGCAACUGGAAUUCUCGGUGUAGCGGUGAAAUGCGUAGAUAUCGAGAGGAACACCUGCGGCGAAAGCGGCCAUCUGGGGCAUUCCUGACACUGAGGUUCGAAAGCUAGGGGAGCAAACAGG
rnacentral:rRNA from 1 species